rnacentral:rRNA from 1 species
CCUAAAAAGUAACGGAGGAGUUUAUUAAGGUCGGCUUAGCGCGGAUGGACAUCGCGCUGGACCUGUAAGAGGAAAAGCCGGCUUGACUGUGAGGGGGACAUCCCGAGCAGGUGGGAAACCAGAAUCUAGUGAACCGACCGUGGGCACUCGAUGCCGCGGAAGAUUAACGGAUAAAAGCUACUCCGGGGAUAACAGGCUAGUUCCGUCCAAGCGUCCAUAGCGACGACGGAGUUCGGCACCUCGAUGUCGGCUCAUCUUAUCCUGGGGGUGGAGAAGCUCCCAAGGGUUUGGCUGUUCGCCAAUUAAAAAGGUACGUGAGCUGGGUUCAGACCGUUCAGAAUCUAAAAAGAUUUGGGUUUUGAACAUGUCUGAAUCCGAGGCAAAAGACAUCAAUCACGGCGGCCCUAUAAAGUAAUUUAUAGGUGCUACGCUGACUAAUAUCGGUGAAAUCCGAUUCGCGAAAACGAAGGACAACACCGAGGGAAGCUUAUGUUAUAAUUUGCGUCAUGAAUGUAGAUAUUUUUGACGUAAGAACAGGUGAGCCUCUUGUAAAAAAGAAAAUUGUGCAUGAAAGGUGUGGCAAGGAUCAUAUAGAUGAAGGAAAAUUUGCUCUAUAUAAUCAUAAGAAGCAUCUUUGUCUGUACUGCAAUGAAUUCUUUUUUGGCGAUGAGGAGGCUGUUGGCAUAUAGCCCCGUAGAGACUACACGUCAGCCAUCCUAUUGAGAAAUUGAAGGAUGAAGAUAUAGUCCAAUGCACGCAGUAAUGCGUGGAAACAUGCGUGAGACAGGUUGGUCUCCUAUCUACUACACCCGUUGAUUCUUGAGGGGGGUUCUUCUUAGUACGAGAGGACCGGAAGGAGUUGACCUCUGGUCUACGAGCUCUGCCGCCAGGUGGACCGCUCGGUAGCUAUGUCGAUAAGUGAUAAGCGCUGAAAGCAUCUAAGCGCGAAGCACGCCCCAAGAUUAGGAAUCGUUGAGAUCCGUGGAAGACUACCACGUUGAUAGGCUCUAGGUGUAAGAUCCGUAAGGAUUUCAGCCGAGGAGUACUAAUAGAUCGAAACCGUCUUGUU